GUAUUGCCAACAAGGUUUUCCAUGAGAUUUUGUUUGAUACAUGUUUGGACUUGAGCUCUCAUUGUUGGCCUGAGAACUCAGGAAAAAAACGUAAAAAAGACGGCUCAAAGAGUUCUAAAGCAGAUGGCAAACGCUCCAGACCUCAGAGGAAAGACCUUACAGAUAUGGAAGAGGAAGGCGAGGAAGAAGAAGAGGAGAUUCAUCUCUCUGGCUCAGACCUGAUGAAGAUCAGAGACGCCUUAUUUCUUUUGCUUCAAAGUCUCCUCAAACUCCUGCAGACACUUUCACUCAAAGACAGACCGCAGAGCCUCAGUAACUGUACACGGAUUUUAAGUAAUUUGCUGUACUUUGAGCCUGUCAU